AGUUUCUUCCUGGUUCUUUCAUUAGAUUAUUACGUUUCAAGUAUUGAAGAUUGCAACAUUGCAAUAGAUCCAUCACUAGGGGCACUUAUCUCAAAUCAUACAUAAUGUGUCAUAACCCCCCCUCACAUAUGUCACUCCUCUUUAUGAUUGCAUACUAACCAUGCAUGAUAAUAUUACUUUUGAAAUACUGCUGAACUCAUGGAGUUUCACAAGUGGUGUGGUCAGUGUGAAAAGUACACAAUCAGCCAGUUAACUAAUAUUGUGAUGUGUAAAUGAUGGAGGUAAAUGAAGAAGUGGUUAUAAAUGUCAUUGUGUUUCUAAAUCUCAUGGGAAGAUGAAUCAUUUGUCAUUUGUUUAGAUUAUCAAUGGGGAGGAAUAGGAGCCGAUGUGAUGUCCAUAUUGGAGGUAGACUAAGCGAAAUAACCUCCAUAACAAUGUGAGCCAUCAAACAAUAUUUAAUUCAGUCAUUUAACUCUAUGUCUUGCCUUCUGCUCUUCAGAGACAAGUAAAUCAAGAAGACUCAAAAAAUAGCAGCAGAAUGCAGAUCAAGGGGAUCGUUGGUUAAGGUCAACUCUAGUUUGAACUUCGAGGAACGUGUAAACAAGCUUAAAGCAAACAAAAGAAACAUUGAUGACCUAGCGUGCCGCAUGGACUGCACAUAAUAAUAUAAGGUUUGGGAUGUCUUUUCACUCGUAUGGUGCUUGUAGAUUUUUUGAGGGGUGCUUGCUAUUAAUAGAAGACUCAAUCUACUUUGUCACAUGUAUAUUGGGGAUACCUAGCAAAUUAAGGGCAGAUCUUUAUUGUGCUCAUUGAAAGGAAGGAGAAUGAAGAAUGCACAGCCAACGAUGUAGAGCACCCACAAGCAAGAUCAUGGUAUGUGAUACCGUAUCGAACCGUAUGGUAUAGAGCAUAUAGUACCAUACCGGUUGGUCCGAUACAUGGUCAGCCCGCAUACCGACACAGUGACAGUGUGACACCAAUAUAAGGCUUGAUACCAAGACGGCAUAUCUUGAGCAAGAUUUUCAUCUCGAUCGUGAUCUCGGCUUGUACCGCUGUCAGGCACCCUCCUAUAUAAUACAUAUAAAGUUUUGGCCCUUUAUCUUGGCCGACAUAAAUAGAUAAAAUCUAAGAUAUCAACAGAUAUGACAUACUCAUAAUGGCUGAUAUUUUUUUAAUCAUUUUUUACUUCUUUAAAUUGAUUUCUUAAUUAAUUAAUCUUGAACGAUGCUUGGAUAUAGUUUUUAAUCUCAGAUUCACUACAUCGCCGAGAUUCCAGUAUAUGGGCCCUAAAAAAUAAGCUGAAAUUUUGGAAAAUCUUAAUUUCCUCCAAAUUUACCUGUAUACAAUAUUGGCCAAGAUAAAUUGAGAUCUUGGCCACUUACCGAGAUAAUUGAUAUACCUUGCCCCCAAGCAAAGGAAUAAAGAAGCAUAUUCACUGAAUUAAAAUGAACGAAUGUGCAAUUGCCUUUUUAAGAACACAUGUUUAUGGAAUUAAAUUGAGAGGGGGAAGUACCUUGUUAUCUUGCAGCCUUGGACAAUAUCAUCACCCAAGACAUCAAAAUAAAACAAAGAAGUUUACAUCUAUAGAUGCCACCUUGAUGGUAGUCCUAAUCUCCCACAAGUGAAGGGCAACUAAAACAUGGAUGCAUAUAUUGGGAGAAAUGAAAAGAAAAGCAAAGGGAAAAAAGCAUGAGGUUGCUCUGCAGUGCAUCUUGCAGCACAAAAAUAUACACCUUGUUUGGAUUUUUGGCCGAUGCAUGGAUUGUUAGCUGUCUAACAGAAAUUAGAUUCUUGAAAAGUUUAUAACUUGAAGAGGUGCCAAAUGACUGCCAAUAAAUUUAGUGUGAUAAUAUCUGAGGAAGGGUAGCAUGUUUACGAGAUAUAUUGGGAAAGUGAAAUUAACUAUGGUUAAAUUUGUAAGAAGGAAGAACAAAGAAAGGAACAUUUAAGGGUAGAAGGAUCUAAUGACUUCGUGUGAUGUGCAAAAGCAUAUGGAAGAAAAUUCGGCUGACAGUAAGGUAGUAUAAGCUUUGACAUCAUUCUGAAACUACCUUUGGUGGGUCUGGUGUAGGUGCUCCUCAAGCUGAGCAAUCAUAAACCUUGGUGAACUUAGGGAGAUCAACCUGGGUCAAAUGGAGGUAUCAGAGGAAUAUGAUCACAUUCUUGCUUCUUAUGCGAUUCUGGCAUGCAUGUUUAUGAUCUCUUCUGAUAAUUGCGCCAUUUUUAGCUGGAUAAAAGUCAAAGUAACUAGAAAAUAGAUUGUCACAUGAGCUACUUGAUAGUAGGAUUUUGAGGAAAGAUGGAUGAGUCCAUGAGUGGUGAGACUAAUAAAAUAUAUCAAUAGAUGAUUGAUUGAAGGAUCCAGAUAACCAAACUCAUAUCUGAUGAUGCAUGAGGGUUGGGUUUUAGUUUUGGUCAUUAAGGUGACGCACAAGUGACAUCUCUUAUAGUCAGGUGAAUGAUUGUGAACUUUGUGUCCUGAUUGCUCCACUAGCAAGUAAAAAUAAUUGAGAAGGGAAAAUUUUGAACAAGCAUCAUUGUUUUGAGUAUGGGUUCUGGUGGGCAACAACAAGACAUAGGAAGUUUCUCUAAAGAAGCUAGACAUAGGAAGAAAGCAGUGGCCAGAGUAACACAUGGUGGGUAUGCAAAAAUUUCAUAAAUUAAGUUUCCAUGGUGGGUCAAGCCAAUGAACAGAGGGCCUCCAAAAAACAAAAAAACUUAAAAAAGGUGGAAGCUGAAGAAGCAAAAUGGACAUAGAGCUCAAUAGAAGUGGAUGGUUAAAGACAAGUCUAGGUAAGAGUAGGAAAAUUGCGCUUUCUAUGCUAAAAUAAUUACACGUCUAUUAAGUCUCUGAAGGAAGAAAUAUUUUGGGAAGACAGAAGGGGAGCAAUAAAAUCUAGCUUAACCAGACUGAAGUAGCAUGAUUUUAAUAUCUAAAUCCGAGGAAAACCUUUGAGGUUCAAAUUUAUGAAGGAAACUAUUGAAUCACAGUGCCUUCUGGUGAUUUGGAAGCAAAAGAACAUUUGGUGAUUUGGAAGCAAAAGAACACAAUUAAAAUGGAAAAAAAAA